UACGUAGGGGGCAAGCGUUGUCCGGAUUUAUUGGGCGUAAAGAGCGUGUAGGCGGUCAGGUAGGUCCGUUGUGAAAACUCGAGGCUCAACCUCGAGACGCCGAUGGAAACCAUCUGGCUAGAGUCCGGAAGAGGAGAGUGGAAUUCCCGGUGUAGCGGUGAAAUGCGCAGAUAUCGGGAAGAACACCGGUGGCGAAGGCGACCCGCUGGCCAGCGACUGACACUGAGACGCGAAAGCGUGGGGAGCAAACAGG
rnacentral:rRNA from 1 species